UUAGUGAAAGUCCUUGCAUCAUGAGACGACACACAAACUAACGUUUGAUUUCAGACGUUCGUUAACUUAUAGUGCAACUUAUGAAGCAAUUUUAACAUUACCUCAUCUACAGUCGCCUUCCGCAAAAAUCCAUCGCAGUGGGCGGCAAGUUAACGUUAGCUAGCGGCGUGAGCCAGUUCAUAAACUAGGACGUGUCCAAACUGGAUCUUUCUGCUCGGUGGUGUAACUCUCGGUUUGGGACAUAAAAUGUAAACGUUUCAAUCGAGAUAUGUUAUCAAUUUGCCUGCAGAAUCGUGAUGCAAACUGCAACUGUGACUUGCACAAACUCAUAUUUGAAAGGGGCAGGAAGCCAGUGUAGCUGUACUCUUCUCAAACUCGAUUGCUGUCCUCCCUGCCUCCUUCUCCUCCCCCCGCGAGCCCAUUGGUACUCGGCUUCUUCUCCUGCAUCUCAGGCUGACUGUCGUUGGCCACGUCCAGCGUGGGAUUGUCGUGGCAACCGUUCUCCACAAAGUGAAGUUCCUCCGCACGGAACUGCAAGCUCCUCCUCUUCCUCCACGCUGGGCUGCAGGGGCUGUCUGCUGGGAGCCAUGCCAACCUCUGGUGCAGUGGGAUUCUGGGUAAAUACGCCUUUGUGUGCCAGACCAGUUUCUUCUUCUUCCUCCUCCCUCUCUGUGUCU